CACAAACGGUUAUUUAAUUACCCUCGUGACAAGGGCCAUGCCAGCAGCCUCCCUCACAUCAUAAAUCAUGUGUUGUGACUGUUUUCCUAUUUUUCAGCAUUUACUUUCUGCUGUCGAGUCUACAACUGGAAGCGCACGUUCAUGGAUGACUGAGGAGGUGCCACACAAUGCCUGAGAAUACAAAUAUGAACAAGACCCACAAACGCCGCUCAUCAUCCCAGUAUUCCAUUUGCAAUGUCAUGAAUGAACUCCUGACCAGGCCCAUAAUUCUUGCAGCUAAAUAUCCUGGUAUUACCUGGUCAGCAGACUUCAUGAGUUGUCUCCUCCCAGUGACAAAACCAUCCCAAAGAAGCGCCAGUCCGGCACAAAGUAUGACUGUCAAUCUCACAAAAGACGCAGGGUUCUCGGAGGAUGCUCAGAGUGUAAGAAUAGCGCUAAGUGAAAUAAGCCAAGCACAGAAAGACACAUCAUACUUCAUCAUUUCAUGUAUCUGUGGAAUCUAAAAGAGUCAAAUUCACAGUAGCAGGGAGAGGGCUGAGGAAGGGGGAGAUGUUGAUCAGAAUUUCUAUGUACACAUAGGCCACACCAUCACAUUACACCCCAUAAAGAUAUACAAUUAUUAUUUGUCAAUUACAAGUAAAGCAAUAAAAGAAGAAGAAAAAGAAAAAAGAAUCAUAAGUAAAUCCAUGACAAGUGAAAGUGCAAUGGAGAGAACAGAAUCAAUGAUUGAAGAAGAGAAAGGAGUGUGUUUAUAGCUGCUUCGAAAGAGUGAUUUGAGUGGCAAAGGACUGGGCAGAGGUCCUCCGGGAAAUGGACAAAGCCCUUGAGUGGGUAGGAAAGACAACCUCUUUAUAACUGCACGGCAUACGCUGAGCAUGAGGUGACAUAUGGCAUGUACUGUCAUGGAAUGUUGUAAAGAUUAUGUCAAAAGCAAAACAAUUCUUGGUUCAUCUGUGUUCACUCUGAGAAUAGCCUAUGAUUGUGGUUAAACUUAUAAACAAACUUAUGUUCAUCAUUUUUUUCUCCAAAAUAAAGUGACCCAAUUGUUUCACA